CGUGUAACAUUAAAAGGAGACUAUGGAGACUCCGAUGCUGCUGCUAUGGUGAUUCGCAACAAGUAAAAGACAUCUAUUGGCUAUCCAGAUUGGUGGGAUCAGAAUCGAGGAUCACAAAGAAGGAAAGCUAAGAAUUCCCUAAUUUCCGCUGUUGCUGAAACCAAAACAAGUGUGGACAAUAUUGAAUCAACUUCAACAUUAGUAGCAACCACAAGCAAGGAAGGUAAGGUGUUUAAUAUUUCUACAUCUGUUUGUGAUAGUACAUGGAUAAUUGAUUCUAGUGCUUCAAAUCAUAUGACCUUUGAUUCUGGACAGGUUAAGAAACUUAGACCAUCCUUACAAAAAUCUAUUUCGAUAGCAAAUGGUAAUGAGGUUCCAAUUAUUGGAGAGGGAUCUAUUACUGCCACCAAUUUUUUAAAUUUAGACUCAGUUUUAAUUGUUCCAUCAUUAAA